UUUUCCAGGAAGCAGGUUAAGCAGAAAGAAAUAGCCUGGUUAGAAUCAGGCUGAAUCCCUUAGCUGUUCUGAGAUGACCUUUUAUGUCCACACCAGUUGCCUCAGAGAUGGCUCCAAAGCAUGAGAACCAACAAAGAAGGGUUGGAAGAAGCAAGUGCCCAUGGAAGGUGUCUUCCUAGUUCUCUUCACCAUUGGUGUCCAGCUUUCCAGGAGAGUGGCCUGCAGGCCUCUGAAGCCAUAACAGGUUUCUGAGCUGAAGUUCUCCAGGAGGCAGAAGGGGAGCAUGUGGACUGUGGAGCAUACACCGGGGUGAAACUUUGGAUAAACAAGAAGAGAAAUCCCAGUUACUGCUCUGAAGCCCUUUGUGGGUGUGUUUUGUGAGCUGGGGAAAUGCCCAGGACCAGCUCUCAAAACUGAGGAACCUUCCUCCAGGCUUCAGAAUAAACCCAGAUGGCACAGAUUCAAGGACCAGCAGCUCUGCAAGGUGUAAGGAGUCUCCCUUUGUGUGUCAAUAGGCUGACAAAUUACAGCAAGCCACCUCUCCACAGGCAGACCCAUUCACUGCUCCCCCCUCCAGUCACAGAGGUGAAGGCAAGUGGUGAAGACUAUAAAGGUUCCUACUUCUCCGGUCUUCGCAUAAAGUCUGUGCUUCCAGAAAGCAACUCUAAAGCAAGGAGCUCCUGUGCAGAGGGAAACAGUCACUAAUGCAGGCAAUGAGAAGAUGCAAGAAAGCAGUGGGGGGCAGGGGUUGAUACUGUGAGCAGUUGGCCAAGAAGACUCCAUCCCUGCCAGAGCAUCAGUCAAAACAUAGAGAGGAGCCAUGUCACAUGGUGAACUGACAGAAUGUGGUACCAUAGAGUCAAAAGGACAAAAGCCAGGUUCUUAAGUUGAGGAAAAUUUAUUAAACAUUGGGAACCACAGAGAAACAGAUCAAAUCUCACCAUUUACCACAUUAAAGGAUUUACAACAAUGACAUUUAACAGAUUUAACACCCAGCAUGCCUGUGCCAAUGAGAGAAGCAAGCAUGGGUUUGUGAUACUGGGCUGAGGGCCUCCUGCAGGGAGGCGGCUGCUUAACCCCAGAAACAGCUGCCACUCUGACAGGAGAGCCCACAUGUGACCACUGAGCUCCUUCAACUUCCCUUCCUUUGUGUAGCCUGCAGAAGGCUUCGUG
rnacentral:lncRNA from 1 species